AUUGAACGCUGGCGGCAUGCCUUACACAUGCAAGUCGAACGGCAGCGCGGGAGCAAUCCUGGCGGCGAGUGGCGAACGGGUGAGUAAUAUAUCGGAACGUGCCCAGUAGUGGGGAUAGCCGGCGAAAGCCGGAUUAAUACCGCAUGAGACCUGAGGGUGAAAGCGGGGGAGUCGCAAGACCUCGCGCUAUUGGAGCGGCCGAUAUCAGAUUAGCUAGUUGGUGGGGUAAAGGCCUACCAAGGCAACGAUCUGUAGUUGGUCUGAGAGGACGACCAGCCACACUGGGACUGAGACACGGCCCAGACUCCUACGGGAGGCAGCAGUGGGGAAUUUUGGACAAUGGGCGCAAGCCUGAUCCAGCAAUGCCGCGUGCAGGAAGAAGGCCU
rnacentral:rRNA from 1 species